AUUGAACGCUGGCGGCAGGCCUAACACAUGCAAGUCGAACGAGUGGCGCACGGGUGAGUAAUGUCUGGGAAACUCCCUGAUGGAGGGGGAUAACUACUGGAAACGGUAGCUAAUACCGCAUACCAUCAGAUGUGCCCAGAUGGGAUUAGCUUGUUGGUGGGGUAAGGGGUCACAAAGGCGACGAUCCCUAGCUGGUGUGAGAGGAUGACAAGCCACACCGGAACUGAGGCACGGUCCAGACUCCUACGGGAGGGAGCAGUGGGGAAUAUUGCACAAUGGGCGAAAGCCUGAUGCAGCCAUGCCGCGUGUAUGAAGAAGGCCUUCGGGUUGUAAAGUACUUUCAGGGGGGAGGCGUUACCCUCCGAAGAAGGCCCGGCUAACUCCGUGCCAGCAGGCGCGGUAAUUC
rnacentral:rRNA from 1 species